rnacentral:rRNA from 1 species
GACGAACGCUGGCGGCGUGCUUAACACAUGCAAGUCGAACGAAGUGGCGAACGGGUGAGUAAUACGUGGGUAACCUGCCCUUCAGAGGGGGACAACAGUUGGAAACGACUGCUAAUACCGCAUACUGAAGGAGGGGAUUGCGUCUGAUUAGCUAGUUGGAGGGGUAGCGGCCCACCAAGGCGAUGAUCAGUAGCCGGUCCGAGAGGAUGAACGGCCACAUUGGGACUUGGACACGGCCCAGACUCCUACGGGAGGCAGCAGUGGGGAAUCUUCCGAAAUGGACGAAAGUCUGACGGAGCAACGCCGCGUGAGUGAUGACGGCCUUCGGGUUGUAAAGCUCUGUUAAUCGGGACGCGGUACCGGAAUAGAAAGCCACGGCUAACUACGUGCCAGCAGCCGCGGUAAUUC